GGACGAACGCUGGCGGCGUGCCUAACACAUGCAAGUCGAGCGAGGAGAUUCCUCGGGAUGAUCCUAGCGGCGGACGGGUGAGUAACACGUGGGCAACCUGCCUCAUAGAGAGGAAUAGCCUUCCGAAAGGGAGAUUAAUACCUCAUAACAUUGCAGUUUCGCAUGAAACAGCAAUUAAAGGAGCAAUCCGCUAUGAGAUGGGCCCGCGGCGCAUUAGCUAGUUGGUGAGGUAACGGCUCACCAAGGCGACGAUGCGUAGCCGACCUGAGAGGGUGAUCGGCCACAUUGGGACUGAGACACGGCCCAGACUCCUACGGGAGGCAGCAGUGGGGAAUAUUGCACAAUGGGGGAAACCCUGAUGCAGCCAACGCCGCGUGAGUGAUGACGGCCUUCGGGUUGUAAAGCUCUGUCUUCAGGGACGAUAAUGACGGUACCUGAGGAGGAAGCCACGGCUAACUACGUGCCAGCAGCUGC
rnacentral:rRNA from 1 species